rnacentral:rRNA from 1 species
CCCGGGUCUUGUACACAUCGCCCGUCACACCACGAAAGUCGGCAACACCCGAAGCCGGUGGCCUAACCCGCAAGGGAGGGAGCCGUCGAAGGUGGGGCUGGCGAUUGGGGUG